AGAGACUGAUAGCUAUCAGGGCUCUCAAGAUGCUGAGCUGAUAUUAGACGGCUUGUCGUUUACAGCUUUUGUCAGUAAGAGCCUUUUUCUAUGGGGAAAUAAUUUGCUUUACAGCCCAGAUGGUGGACACUCGAUUCGUUGGUUGACAAGCUUUCCCAGCAACUCCACGAUCGUGGUUUUCAUAUCGUCACCUUUCGAUGGAUUAUUUGCGUUCCUUACGCACGAUCGGGAGGUCUGGAUUGGGCAAGUAGGGUCCUCUGGAGUACAACGACUGAAGAGCAGUGCGGUUCCAAGGAAGCUGUCCCCGGACCUUUACGAUAAGAGAGACUCGUCUACUCUGUCGAUAUUCUUUGACUCUGGGGGAGGGCUUCAA